UACGGAGGUGGCAAGCGUUCUCCGGAAUUAUUGGGCGUAAAGCGUCCGCAGGUGGCGAUUCACGUCUGCGGUCAAAGACUGGGGCUUAACCCUGGAAAGGCCGUGGAAACUGAAUAGCUAGAGUGCAGUAGGGGUAGAGGGAAUUCCCGGUGUAGCGGUGAAAUGCGUAGAGCUCGGGAAGAACAUCGGUGGCGAAAGCGCUCUGCUGGACUGCAACUGACACUCAGGGACGAAAGCUAGGGGAGCGAAUGGG
rnacentral:rRNA from 1 species